rnacentral:rRNA from 1 species
GAUCUGGCUCAGGACGAACGCUGGCGGCGCGCCUAACACAUGCAAGUCGAACGGAGCUUAGAGAGCUUGCUUUUUAAGCUUAGUGGCGAACGGGUGAGUAACGCGUGAGUAACCUGCCCUAGAGUGGGGGACAACAGUUGGAAACGACUGCUAAUACCGCAUAAGCCCACGGUACCGCAUGGUACUGAGGGAAAAGGAUUUAUUCGCUUUAGGAUGGACUCGCGUCCAAUUAGCUAGUUGGUGAGGUAACGGCCC